AUAAUGUUCUUCUUAAAGCUCUUUCUGCAGUUGGCAGUCGCACACAGUGUUUAUUCUCAGAUUGUGCUCACACAGUCUGAACAGUCAGUAAGUGUGUCUCCGAGCGGAUCUGUUAAGCUGACCUGUGCAUGCAGUGGAUUCACUCUUAGUAGCUACAGGAUGCACUGGAUCCGUCAGGCACCAGGAAAAGGACUGGAAUGGAUUUUGCACUUUUAUUCAAAUUCUGACAAUGGUGCAGCUCAGUCAGUGCAGGGCAGAUUCACAGCAUCUAAAGACAGCUCUAAUUUCUAUCUGCACAUGAAUCAACUGAAGACUGAGGACACUGCAGUGUAUUACUGUGCAAGAGAGACACUGUGCUUGUUUUCAUGCAUCUACUCUUAGGUAAACCAUCAGGGGAGAACUGAGGAAUGGAGAUUAUUGGU